rnacentral:sRNA from 2 species
CUGCUGACAACUUCAGCUAUUGCAAUCAUCCCGUUGUGUUGAGUUUCCAACUGUUGAUUAUACUCACGAUCUACAUAUUGAGCCACAGCAAGAAUGUUUGCAAAUUAUACGUUGAAUAAUUCAGAGCCUGCAUAACUAAUUUAGUGGCGACAUACGGGCUUACCAGCUAGGAUUUUUCAGCCCUGGCGACAAAGUUUGUAGCCACCCGUUGUGAAUGAUAUCGACGGCACAAAUUGUGGCCGUGAUUAGCGCCGGCUCAGCACGACCGAAGCUUAGCUUGUGUGCAUUCCUCCCAAGUCACAAUAAACACCACA